rnacentral:rRNA from 1 species
UACGUAGGGGGCAAGCGUUGUCCGGAAUCAUUGGGCGUAAAGCGCGCGUAGGCGGCCCGGUAAGUCCGCUGUAAAAGUCCAGGGCUCAACCCUGGAAAGCCGGUGGAUACUGUCGGGCUAGAGUCCGGAAGAGGCGAGUGGAAUUCCUGGUGUAGCGGUGGAAUGCGCAGAUAUCAGGAGGAACACCGAUGGCGAAGGCAGCUCGCUGGGACGGUACUGACGCUGAGGCGCGAAGGCGUGGGGAGCGAACAGG